UUUUAUUUCUCUCCCCCCCCCAAUUCCCUUCUUUCCCGAUUCCACUCUCUUUCUCAGCCAUUCUCAGCCUGUACUUCUAUUUCUCUCCCCCGAUUCCCUUUUCUUUCCCAAUUCCCUUUUCUUUCUCAGCCUUUCUCUGACUAAGCCAUUUGCCUAAAUCAUAGUUCCCCCGAAACCCUCAUUUUCUCCCAAAUCAUAGUUCCCCCAAAACCCCAAAAUUUCCCUAAAUCAAACCCAUUUGCUGUCUCCCUCUCUCUUUUCGAUCGACAGGUAUCAUAAUUUUCUAAUCAAACCCAAAGCUCAUUCUUUCAUUUUGAUUUCAUUGCAGCAAGCAAGCCAUUUAUUUUUGAUUUCAUUUCGACUUCAAUUUCACUUCUGUUUUAUUUUUGCAGCAAGCAGAAAGAUUAAGGGAUUUCAUUUUGAAAUCAAACCCGAUUGAAGGCUACCUUUGGCGAGUCCAUCAAAUCAAGGUACUCUUAUUUACUUGUUCUUUUGAAUCCUAGACUUUAGCAUGCUGACAUUUAUAUUUUUUUUCUUUUGUGUUCUUUAGUAUAUGCCAUCUAUUGGGAAUUUUAUUGUUGUUCUCUUUCCCUCUGCGUAUGUAGUUAGUUUCCUAUUAUGGGAAUUUAUUUUGUUGGUUUUGAUUUCUGCGUUUGAUUUUGGCUUUUUGGUUCUUUGAGUCGGAAGAUUGAUGGCCUUUUAUGGGCUAGUUUGAUUUAUAUUGGCAUUUGAUUAUACAUGAUUGGAAAAUGGUUUAAUAUGUAUAGAUUCUCCAAGACUAGAAACUUUAUCCUUGAUGUUUCAAGUUACUGAAUGAUGAACUUGGCUGUCUUGAAACUACAACCUAUACAUGAGUGACCUUCGAUACCGUAAACAUGUUUUCAGUUAUCAGUUCAGUGUCUUCUCAUGUGAUCAUUGGUAGAAGCAAUUCCUUGUAGGAUUAGAUAGUUUAGGUUAGAUAACCCGACCUAUAUUGAAUUGCUUGCUCUAUUUAUUGUGUUUUGGUUUCAAUGGUCAAUAUUCUGGGCUUAUUAAACUCUAAAAAUGCGUGUCACCAGUCAUCCUCAUGAAAACAUGCCUCAAAAACACUCUUUGCUUCUGCUGUUGUGCUUGUGCUGCCUUACACUCAAAUAUUUAUGUUACCAAUCUUAGCUGGUCCAGUCACCUUUUCUUCCAUGAUCUUCUGCAUAUUGUGUAACAUUAAUACAUCCUUCCUUAUCCUGCAUUGCUUUUACACUGUUAAAUAGCGGGUAGUAGCUAUCCCUGAAGUUUUCUGGAGAACUUUAGAGUCAUAAAAACCCUGGCUAAAGACUUCCUGAUUCUGAAAUUUGCUGCCUUGCGUUGGAGGGCACCUAUUGAUAUAAUUAAUAAUUACGACCUUUUUUAGGUAAAAUAAUGUGAAUUUGCAUUUAAUUAAAUUGUUUAUUUACCAUAGAAUCUUUUUUCGCAAGCCCCAUGAUAUAUAUUUUCAUUUCUCAUUAUUUUCUUCUAAGAUCUUUUUAUCAUAAUACUAAAUCUACAGUUAAUGGCUCUCUACCAUCUUAAAAGUUGAAUUAUAGUCUAAAUCACCAUUUUUUCCCUUUAAUUUCUUCGGUUAAUAAUUAGUACGGUAAACGUGGACCAAUUGCCAUCUUUAAAAUUAGUUGAAAUGACUCUUGAAACCAACAAAAAAGCUGGUACACUUCUCAAAUUUUUAUUUUUAUUUUGGUGGAAAACAUUUCUCAAAAUUUUAACCACGGUGUGACAAGAGAUAUGUAUUUCUUCUUAACUUGGCGAGCUAUACAGACUUCGCCAAUACAAAUUAGUCACGCUUCAUAAUUGUGAAUCGGUAAGCAACUCACCAUUUUUCUAUAUAAAAAAACAUUUGGGCAAAUCAAAUUUAUUAUACAUUUUCAUGACAAGUCUCGCCAGCUGUUAUCAAUUUUAUUAUGUGCAUGCCUCGCCAUUUUCUUUUUAUUUUGGUAUAUAUCAUUGAAGCUUGGCAGUAUACAUACUAUUGGUGCUUAUAAUUUGCUCAUAUCGUUGGCUGUCAUUAGUGAUACCGUAACUGCAUAUUUGUUUUAUUUUCUCCUUAAUCCUCAAGUCAUGCUCUAAGAAAUACACUCAAUUGAAGUUUGGAGCAACUCUAUCCUCUUUUAGUUCUCUGAUCUUAUGAAUGUGCAGAGCAUGUUUGUAAUGUCUCUGUCAUAGUGGCUUCAUCAUAUGAUAUCAAUUACUAUGUUACACAUUGAUGGUUAGAAAGCUGUAAUUAAUUAUUUUUUAUUCAAUUUGAUGGCUCGGAAUAAAUUGUUUGUGGUGAUGCAUGCAUAUUCACGUAACAGAUGAUGUGAUUGUUAUACAUAGCUGCUACAUGAGUUGAGACCUGAUGAGAGUAAGUUGGAGAAUAGCCUGUGUUAUCCAAAAAUUAGUAUUUUGUUCUAACAAUUACUCUUUUGCAUGCUAACUCAGCAUAUUACAGUGACAUCUGUGUCGGAUCAAUUGCUUGCCGGCUGGAAAAGAAGGAAGGUGGGGCUAUCCAUUUGUACAUCAUGACAUUGGGGUUAUCCAUUUGCCAGCAUAUUACCCUAGACUUCUGUGAUGAGUUAAAUGGAUUUAACUCAAUUGAAUAAUGAUUAAUUCACUUGUUUUAAGUGUUUUUUUUCAUUUUAUAUUUUUUAUAUAAAAAAUAUAUAUACUUAAAUCACAAAAUGAUAACUAAACUAUACUUGUUUUCCCAAAUUGAUAUUUAAACUUUUUUGUUGUCAUAAGUGGUACUUAAACUAUACCACUUACCCAUUUUAUCUCUGUUGUUAAAGAAAUUCCCUUAACCAAUCAUUUUGUGGCACGAUAUAAUUUUUAACUAAAAUAUCCAAAAAAAAGAUUAAAUAUUAUUUCCUUUAUAAACAUAUUUAUCUUUUUUUGUUUUCACCUAAAAGUUCUAGUGAAAAAAAAUUCAAGAACUAAUCGAGAAACACAUUUGAACCUAGUUUUCGACAAUAAAGCUUAGAUUGCGAUGAGUGUUUUUUUUCUUUUUAAUUUUUUAAUAUAUUCUACUGACACAUUGCAAUUCCAAGUAUCUAUGUUAGUGAUUUAGUAUCUCUUCUUAAAUUUGAAUCUCGAUGAUAAUUAGACUGGAGGAUGCCAUUACUGUAGUAAGGAUCCUUUAAAUAUUUACCUUUUUUUAAUAAAUUUUGAACUAGAGUGAACUGGCAAAAGUGUUGUUAAGAAGCUGAGGGUGUUACCGUUGCUCAACCAAUUUAAUAAUUUAGGUUGAUGCUAUAAUGUUAUUGAAAGGCAUAUUUGAGUCAGAUUAUUUUUUUAUUUUAUGGCUGUUUAUUGUUUGCAGGUGUAAUUUAAUUUGCUAGAAUUGACUCUUCCAUCCAAUUUAUAAUUUUUAAGAGGUAUGUAUAUUUAAUUUGCUAAAUCUUUAUUUCUAGGAGAUUAUAUUUGGUAUGUAUUCCAUGAGCUAAUUACAAGGUAAUUACAAUUUCAAAUAGGUAUGUAUAUUUAAUUUGUUAAAUUUGUUUUUAACUUGUUUUUUAAUGGAUCAUUAAUGGAUCAUGUUUUUAACUUAUUUCAAGUCUGUCCUUUGAUUAUUUUUUUUAAUUUGCUUAUGUUGUUUAUCCUUAGAGACUUGU
rnacentral:lncRNA from 1 species